AGAGCCGCCCUCGGAAAGUGCAAAAGCAGCCACGAGACAGAUCCAGGCUUUGUUGCUAAUUUCCCAGGGUGAAAAUUGACAAGCCUGGGAGUGCAGUCAGCACAACCCAUUGCAUAUGCUACUGACAAACGCUGGGGACAUCCCCUCCCACCCAUCCCCAUCACACAGAGAAUGUGACCUCUGCAGGACUGGACUCUGGAAGGACCCUACCUCCAGGACUCGCCCACAAGAAGAACUGCGAAAGAGCUCCGGAGGAGAAGGAAAAAAAUCAUCAGAAAAACCCCUGUGCAGAUGAAGAGGCUCGAUGCUUAAUGCGCACAGAUGUGAUCGCCAGUGGUCGCCGACAAUGAAAUAUACAAGUGCACACAAAGUGAUCCGGUGAACAAGAGGUGGAAUUUAAUCAUCUUCUGCUGACACUUUGUGAAAAACACCAUUAACCCGCAGCAAACCCCCUGUUUUCCUGGCUCCCUGUAACCCCUAAAGUCUCAGCCCCUCCUGCCAAGGAGAAAAAGUGAAAGAAGAAUUUGUGGUUUUGUUUACUCAGCCGAGCUAAAGGUUGGAUCCAGCCUGAUGAAAACUUUAAGGAACAAUGAAGGAGAGAGGUGCCGCUCUGAACCGGGACUAAGGUGCAGAACUGGAGUGAGCUGUUCCCCAACUCCUGGUUUUGAACCCUGGACUGAAUAAAAGCUUAAGACCACAAGACAAACACAAAGUUUAUAGAUAACUCCUUUUUCAAGUGUAGUGUCUCUGCUACAGUCCUUGCUACUCUCUCCUUGGGAAGGUGCCCUCCAAGGUUCACCUUGGCUCCUCUGUGCAGUUCCCUAUUCAGGAGGGCCUGGGUUCUUCUUCAGUGUUCUGGUAUGGAAGACAUAGGUGGUAUCAAUUAUUCCAGGACCUAGAUCACUCCUUUCCUUUUAAAAUGUGACCAAGCAUCCUAAGAAAGAGUGAUGGUGUUUGGUUUUUGGAAGGUUUUUAAACUGGGCACUUUGAAGCUGUCAGGAAGCAUUGGCUGUACACACUGUUUUAAAUAGCCUUUCCAUGCUCAGGAGCUACUACUCCCCCACUAACUCCUAAAACUGCUUCAACAUUUCCCCUCUCCUGCCCUCUGCGUGCUUCACCAAUGUGUACGUAGCUGUUCUUGGGUAUAGAUGGUGCAUGCUAGGGGGAUUGUUUGAAAGGUUAAUAGCCAUAAGAUCCUGUCCUCAUCUGACAUAUUUUAUAAUUUAUUUUUAUCAAAAAUGAAUUUCAAAUAUUCUGUUGCCAUCUCAGACAUACCAGCAUACAGCCUAAAAAUAGGUACAGUUACCAGAGCUACGGUGAUGGAUCGAACACAUUUAUCUGCCAUCAAACUCAUGUUCUUGACUUGGGAAUCUCUCUGUGAAACACAGGGCAUUUCUGAGGAAAGGAAAGACCAGCGACUGAAUGAAACGUUAAACUUAUCCUCCUAAGGAAAGAAUAGUUUUACAAUCAUGUUUUAAUUUUCUUUUGUAUUUUAUACCUUUGACAUUUUGUGGACAAAUUUAAGGAGCAGCAAGGUUGUUGACAGGCCUGGGGUGAGGACAGAAGGACUAAGCGUUUUCUUUAUUCAAACAAGGCAGAAAGUGAAACCACAUAGUCCAAUGGUCAGUGUCUCAAUAAGAUGAGAAUAAACAGAAAGAGGCUCUGCAUCUUAUUUAUAUUUUAUCAGAGGUUAUUGCUGUAGCACGUGAAGCACAAUAAAUAGCAUUCUGUUAGCAGCCAUUUGAAAAAAAAUGUUCAUCACUUUCAAAUAAAAUUACUUCCCC
rnacentral:lncRNA from 1 species